GACGAACGCUGGCGGCGUGCUUAACACAUGCAAGUCGAACGGGUCUGCCCUGUUUUUUGCGGGGUGGGUCAGUGGCGAACGGGUGAGUAACACGUGAGUAACCUGCCCCUCACUUCUGGAUAACCGCUUGAAAGGGUGGCUAAUACGGGGUGUUCUGGCUGUGCCGCAUGGUGUGGCUGGGAAAGAUUCACUUUUGUGGUGUUUUGGUGGGGGAUGGGCUCGCGGCCUAUCAGCUUGUUGGUGGGGUGAUGGCCUGCCAAGGCUUUGACGGGUAGCCGGCCUGAGAGGGUGGGCGGUCACACUGGGACUGAGAUACGGCCCAGACUCCUGCGGGAGGCAGCAGUGGGGGGUAUUGCACAAUGGGCGGAAGCCUGAUGCAGCGACGUCGCGUGAGGGAUGGAGGCCGUCGGGUUGUGAACCUCUUUCGCCGGUGAAGAAGGUCCUGCUCUUUGUGGUGGGGUUGACGGUAGCCGGGUUAUGAAGCGCCGGCUAACUACGUG
rnacentral:rRNA from 1 species